CAGUAGCCGCGGGAAUACGAAGGGGGCUAGCGUUGCUCGGAAUGACUGGGCGUAAAGGGCGCGUAGGCGGAUGGCACAGUCAGAUGUGAAAUUCCCGGGCUUAACCUGGGGGCUGCAUUUGAUACGUGUUGUCUAGAGUGAGGAAGAGGGUUGUGGAAUUCCCAGUGUAGAGGUGAAAUUCGUAGAUAUUGGGAAGAACACCGGUGGCGAAGGCGGCAACCUGGUCCUUGACUGACGCUGAGGCGCGAAAGCGUGGGGAGCAAACAGGAUUAGAGACCCGCGUAGUCCCUGUCUCUUAUAC
rnacentral:rRNA from 1 species